CGCCUCUUGAAAAAAUAUAAGAGGUCCAGCCUGCCCAGUGACCAUGUUCAACGGCCGCGGUAUCCUAACCGUGCGAAGGUAGCGUAAUCACUUGUUCUUUAAAUGAGGACUAGUAUGAACGGCACCACGAAGGUUAUACUGUCUCCUUUUUCCGAUCAGUGAACCUAAUCUUCCCGUGAAGAAGCGGGAAUAUUAAUAUAAGACGAGAAGACCCUAUGGAGCUUAAAACAACACAGCACCUGCUAUAAACAUUAAAAUUCCCUACUUUUUAAGCAGCAUGACUGUAAGUUUUUGGUUGGGGUGACCACGGAGCAUAAUACAACCUCCAUGCUGAAGAAAUUUUAUUUUAAGCUAAAAACCACACUUUUAAGCAUCAAUAAAUUGACAUCCAUUGACCCAAUAUAUUUGAACAACGAACCAAGUUACCCUAGGGAUAACAGCGCAAUCCACUUCAAGAGCUCCUAUCGACAAGUGGGUUUACGACCUCGAUGUUGGAUCAGGGUUUCCCAGUGGUGCAGCCGCUACUAAAGGUUCGUUUGUUCAACGAUUAAAACCCU
rnacentral:rRNA from 1 species